CCCUGAUGCAGCCAUGCCGCGUGUGUGAAGAAGGCCUUCGGGUUGUAAAGCACUUUCAGCAGUGAGGAAGGUGGUGUACUUAAUACGUGCAUGGCUUGACGUUAGCUGCAGAAGAAGCACCGGCUAACUCCGUGCCAGCAGCCGCGGUAAUACGGAGGGUGCGAGCGUUAAUCGGAAUUACUGGGCGUAAAGCGCAUGCAGGCGGUUUGUUAAGUCAGAUGUGAAAGCCCGGGGCUCAACCUCGGAACCGCAUUUGAAACUGGCAGGCUAGAGUCUUGUAGAGGGGGGUAGAAUUUCAGGUGUAGCGGUGAAAUGCGUAGAGAUCUGAAGGAAUACCAGUGGCGAAGGCGGCCCCCUGGACAAAGACUGACGCUCAGAUGCGAAAGCGUGGGUAGCAAACAGGAUUAGAUACCCUGGUAGUCCACGCCGUAAACGCUGUCUACUUGGAGGUUGAGGUUUAAGACUUUGGCUUUCGACGCUAACGCAUUAAGUAGACCGCCUGGGGAGUACGGCCGCAAGGUUAAAACUCAAAUGAAUUGACGGGGGCCCGCACAAGCGGUGGAGCAUGUGGUUUAAUUCGAUGCAACGCGAAGAACCUUACCUACUCUUGACAUCCAGCGAAUCCUUUAGAGAUAGAGGAGUGCCUUCGGGAGCGCUGAGACAGGUGCUGCAUGGCUGUCGUCAGCUCGUGUUGUGAAAUGUUGGGUUAAGUCCCGCAACGAGCGCAACCCUUAUCCUUGUUUGCCAGCACGUAAAGGUGGGAACUCCAGGGAGACUGCCGGUGAUAAACCGGAGGAAGGUGGGGACGACGUCAAGUCAUCAUGGCCCUUACGAGUAGGGCUACACACGUGCUACAAUGGCAGAUACAGAGGGCAGCGAAGCUGCGAAGUGGAGCGAAUCCCUUAA
rnacentral:ncRNA from 1 species